CAGCCGCCGCGGGAACACGAAGGGGGCUAGCGUUACUCGGAAUUACUGGGCGUAAAGGGCGCGUAGGCGGCACGAUUAGUCAGGCGUGAAAUUCCUGGGCUCAACCUGGGGACUGCGCUUGAUACGGUCGAGCUAGAGGAUGGAAGAGGGUUGUGGAAUUCCCAGUGUAGAGGUGAAAUUCGUAGAUAUUGGGAAGAACACCGGUGGCGAAGGCGGCAACCUGGUCCAUUACUGACGCUGAGGCGCGACAGCGUGGGGAGCAAACAGGAUUAGAUACCCCCGUAGUCCCUGUCUCUUAUAC
rnacentral:rRNA from 1 species